rnacentral:rRNA from 1 species
AAGGAUAGAAGAUAGAAAUUAGGGUAUAAAAUAGGAUAUGAAAAUCAAUUUGAAAGGUAAAGUUUUAGUAAAGGGUAUUGAAUGAAUGAUGUAAAAGAAAGUACUGUGAAGGAAAAUUGAAAUAAAUGAAAAAUUGUUUGGGAAAAAGUAGACUUGAUGUUGUACCUUUUGUAUCAGGGUUUAAUAAUUAAAUGGGAAUAUUCUAAAAUCUCGAUAUGAGGAGUGCUAUAAAUUUAAAAUAGUUCAGGUAGCAAACUGAUUAUCCAUAAAUGUAUAGGAAUGAAAUAUUAAUCGGUCCUCAAGGUAUCUAGUUUCUUAAGAAAUGAAUUUAAUUCAGAAGUUUUGUGAAUGAGAAGUCUUUGUCUUUGAAUUUAGAAAAGCUUUUAUGUUGUGGGGGAUAAGCUCCGCAAUAGUGUUAAAACUAGGAAGAAAAGAAAAUAAGUAGGCUUGAAAGUAGCCAUCUAUUGGAUGAUGUUAUAAUUUAUUUUCAGAAGAUUUAAUUUUUAAAAGUUUAAAGUUGGUAUUAAGAAAUGAUCUGAAAUGAUAAAAGAUUAGUUAUAAUGUUAAAAUUAUUAUAAAAUGUGAAAGAUAAGUAAAGUUUUAAAAAGGAACUCGGCAAAUAAAAUACUCGCCUGUUUAUCAAAAACAUCGCCUUUUGCCUGAAUAGAAGGUCUAGCCUGCCCACUGAAUAAUUUAAAGGGCCGCGGUAUAUUGACCGUGCAAAGGUAGCAUAAUCAUUAGUCUUCUAAUUAAAGGCUGGAAUGAAUGGUUGGACGAGGUAUUAGCUGUCUCUUUAAAAUGAUUUAGAAUUUAACUUUUUAGUCAAAAGGCUGAAAUGUAAUUGGAGGACGAGAAGACCCUAUAGAUCUUUAUAUUUUAAUUGUUUAAUCACUUUAGAAGGUUUAAGAUUUAAUGAGUAGGAUAUUUUGUUGGGGUGACAGGAAGAUAAUGAAAACUAUUUUUAAUGAGAACAUUGAUGUAUGGGUAGUUGAUCCGUAAUAACGAUUAUAAGACUAAGUUACCUUAGGGAUAACAGCGUAAUCUUUUUUGAGAGUUCUAAUCGACAAAAAGGGUUGCGACCUCGAUGUUGGACUAAGGGUUAUUCUUGGGUGUAGAAGUUCAAGGUUUAGGUCUGUUCGACCUUUGAAUCCUUACAUGAUCUGAGUUCAGACCGGCGUAAGCCAGGUUGGUUUCUAUCCUCAAUUUUAGAUAAUAUUUUAGUACGAAAGGACCAAAUAUUAGAGAUAUUCUUUAAAGUUGAAUACUAGUAAUG